GUGGUUUGGGAUGUGGGGGUUUGCUGGGCCUUGUUAAAGGGUUCAGCUCUCCUGAAAUGCAUUAGCAGAACAGCCCUGUUCAUUGGUGUGAUAACUAUCUACGCUAUUGAAUGUGACGGGAAGUUCAGCUUUCUAACAGUCCUUGGACAAUUCAUCAUUAAUGUGACCUCAAAUCAGGUAGGACUACCCGCUGAACUUAA
rnacentral:misc_RNA from 1 species